rnacentral:rRNA from 1 species
GUUUGUUUCGAUCAUCUUCAUCACGUCUACAGAACGUGUGUGUGGUCAUCAAGCGACAGACCGGUGCUGGGAGCGGCGAACGGCUGAGUAACACGUUGGAACCUGCCCCGUACUCAGGGAUAACUCCGCGAAAGCGGAGCUAAUACCGGAUGCCCCGCGUAGAGCGCUUGCGCUUGUACACGGGAAAGAUUUUUCGGUACGGGAGGGGCCUGCGGCCUAUCAGCUUGUUGGUAAGGUAACGGCUUACCAAGGCUAUGACGGGUAGCUGGUUUGAGAGAACGACCAGCCAGAAUGGGACUGAGACACGGCCCAUACUCCUACGGGAGGCAGCAGUUAGGAAUCUUCCGCAAUGGGCGAAAGCCUGACGGAGCGACACCGCGUGGAGGAUGACACCCUUUCCGGGCGUAAACUCCUGUUCUGAGGGAACAAAUUUUUGAGGGUACCUCAGGAGAAAGCACCGGCUAAUUCCGUGCCAGCAGCCGCGGUAAGACGGAAGGUGCAAGCGUUACUCGGAAUUACUGGGCGUAAAGCGUCUGUAGGUGUCCUGUUCAGUCUGGCGUAAAAGCGCGAAGCUCAACUUCGUCGUACGUGCCGGAAACUUACAGGAUUGAGCAACUCAGAGGCAUCUGGAAUGCCGUGUGUAGGGGUAAAAUCCGUUGAUCCACGGUGGAACGCUAAAAGCGAAAGCAGGAUGCUGGGGGUUUGCUGACACUCAGAGACGAAAGCGUGGGGAGCAAACAGGAUUAGAUACCCUGGUAGUCCACGCUGUAAACGAUGAGAACUAGAUGUUGGACGCAUCGGGCGUUCAGUGUCGCAGCUAACGCGUUAAGUUCUCCGCCUGGGGAGUACGGCCGCAAGGUUGAAACUCAAAAGGAAUUGACGGGGGACCCGCACAAGCGGUGGAGCAUGU